rnacentral:lncRNA from 1 species
CAGGUCCAAUCUCAGUCACCACCUUCUUUAUAUCUUCUUCUCCCCAGCUUCUAGGAACAUUACCAAUGAACAGACGAUGCUUUGCUUGAGAUGUUGAACAUUUUAUUUUUCUCCCCUGUGUGUUUGCAUGAGAAAGAGAGAGAGAGAAGAAAACACUCAGCAAUUUUAACAAUGCCUAGCAUUCACCAUAAGUCCAUAACCAACAUGCUUCAAAACAGCAUUUUUUUAAAAAUAAUAAUAAUUUCCCAAAAAGAGCAAUUCUAGAUCUGUUCUGCAUAAAACAAUGGAAUCAAAGAAAAUUCCCCCAAGAUUCCUUAAAACCUCUUCACUACUUCUUCUUCUUCCAUUUUUCUUUUUCUUUUUUUUUUUUCCUAGCAAGGUUUUCAGUUAAAUCCGGGGUAAUAUUUUAGGGGUAAUAAACUCAGAACAGAAAGUACCACUAAGUCAACCAAGUCUCAGAAUAUCAUUGGCUCAGAAAAACACAAUGCACAAGAAGAUUGUGUUACCUUAAAUUCAGUAUUAUUCAGCUCCUCAAUUGCUUUAGAAGCCAAUUCUACAUUUCUAAAGGUCACAAAUGCAAAGCCCUUGUUCUCACCCGAAUCUUUGCCUUUC